rnacentral:rRNA from 1 species
UACGGAGGGUGCAAGCGUUGCUCGGAAUUAUUGGGCGUAAAGGGCAGGUAGGUGGUCUUAUUUGUCUGGGGUGAAAGCCUUGAGCUUAACUCAAGAAGUGCCCUAGAAACGGUGAGACUAGAGUCCUGGAGAGGGUCGUGGAAUUCCCGGUGUAGCGGUGAAAUGCGUAGAGAUCGGGAGGAACACCAGAGGCGAAGGCGGCGACCUGGACAGGAACUGACACUCAACUGCGAAAGCGUGGGGAGCAAACAGGAUUAGAUACCCUUGUAGUCC